GCCAGGAGUGGUGGCACUCACCUGUAAUCCCUACUACUUGGGAAGCUGAGGUGGGAAGAUUGCUUGAGCCCAGAAGUUCUGGGUUAUGAUGAUUGGGUGUCUGCACUAAGCUUGGCAUCAAUAUGGUGACCUCUUGGGAGUAGGGGACCACCAGGUUACCUAAGAAGAGGUGAACCAGCCCAGGUCGGAAACCAAGCAGGUCAAAACUCAUGGGCUGACCAGUGUAGUAAGAUCACCACUGUGAAAAACCACUGUAAUCUAGCCUGGGCAACACAGCGAGACCCU
ensembl:misc_RNA Metazoa_SRP Metazoan signal recognition particle RNA